rnacentral:lncRNA from 1 species
UCUCCCCCUUCCCACGGUCUCCUUCCACGGUCUCCCUCUGAUGCCGAGCCAAAGCUGGACGGUACUGCUGCCAUCUCGGCUCACUGCAACCUCCCUGCCUGAUUCUCCUGCCUCAGCCUGCCGAGUGCCUGCGAUUGCAGGCGCGCGCCGCCACGCCUGACUGGUUUUCGUUUUUUUUUUUUGGUGGAGACGGGGUUUUGCUGUGUUGGCCGGGCUGGUCUCCAGCUCCUAACUGCGAGUGAUCCGCCAGCCUCGGCCUCCCGAGGUGCCGGGAUUGCAGACGGAGUCUCGUUCACUCAGUGCUCAAUGGUGCCCAGGCUGGAGUGCAGUGGCGUGAUCUUGGCUCGCUACAACCUCCACCUCCCAGCCGCCUGCCUUGGCCCCCCAAAGUGCCGAGAUUGCAGCCUCUGCCCAGCCGCCACCCCGUCUGGGAAGUGAGGAGCGUCUCUGCCUGGCCCCCCAUCGUCUGGGAUAUGAGGAGCCUCUCUGCCUGGCUGCCCAGUCUGGAAAGUGAGGAGCGUCUCUGCCCGGCCGCCAUCCCAUCUAGGAAGCGAGGAGCGCCUCUUCCCAGCCGCCAUCCCAUCUAGGAAGUGAGGAGCGUCUCUGCCCGGCCGCCCAUCGUCUGAGAUGUGGGGAGCACCUCUGCCCCGCCGCCCUGUCUGGGAUGUGAGGAGCGCCUCUGCUGGGCCGCAACCCUGUCUGGGAGGUGAGGAGCGUCUCUGCUCGGCCGCCCCGUCUGAGAAGUGAGGAAACCCUCUGCCUGGCAACCGCCCCGUCUGAGAAGUGAGGAGCCCCUCCGUCCGGCAGCCACCCCGUCUGGGAAGUGAGGAGCGUCUCCGCCCGGCAGCCACCCCGACCGGGAGGGAGGUGGGGGGGGGUCAGCCCCCCGCCCGGCCAGCCGCCCCGUCCGGGAGGUGAGGGGCUCCUCUGCCCGGCCGCCCCUACUGGGAAGUGAGGAGCCCCUCUGCCCGGCCAGUCGCCCCGUCCAGGAGGGAGGUGGGGGGGGUCAGCCCCCCGCCCGGUCAGCCGCCCCGUCCGGGAGGGAGGUGGGGGGAUCAGCCCCCCCCCUGGCCAGCCGCCCCGUCCGGGAGGUGAGGGGCGCCUCUGCCCGGCCGCCCCUACUGGGAAGUGAGGAGCCCCUCUGCCCGGCCAGCCGCCCCGUCCGGGAGGGAGGCGGGGGGGGGGUCGGCCAGCCGCCCUGUCCAGGAGGGAGGUGGGGGGAUCAGCCCCCCGCCUGGCCAGCCGCCCCGUCUGGGAGGUGAGGGGCGCCUCUGCCCGGCCGCCCCUACUGGGAAGUGAGGACCCCUCUGCCUGGCCAGCCGCCCCUUCCGGGAGGGUGGGGGGGGGGGUCAGCCCCCCGCCCGGCCAGCCGCCCCAUCCGGGAGGUGAGGGGCGCUUCUGCCCGGCCGCCCCUACUGGGAAGUGAGGAGCCCCUCUGCCCGGCCACGACCCCGUCUGGGAGGUGUGCCCAGCGGCUCAUUGGGGAUGGGCCAUGAUGACAAUGGCGGUUUUGUGGAAUAGAAAGGCGGGAAGAGUGGGGAAAAAAUUGAGAAAUCGGAUGGUUGCCGGGUCUGUGUGGAUAGAAGUAGACAUGGGAGACUUUUCAUUUUGUUCUGUACUAAGAAAAAUUCUUCUGCCUUGGGAUCCUGUUGAUCUGUGACCUUAUCCCCAACCCUGUGCUCUCUGAAACAUGUGCUGUGUCCACUCAGGGUUAAAUGGAUUAAGGGCGGUGCAAGAUGUGCUUUGUUAAACAGAUGCUUGAAGGCAGCAUGCUCGUUAAGAGUCAUCACCACUCCCUAAUCUUAAGUACCCAGGGACACAAACACUGCGGAAGGCCGCAGGGUCCUCUGCCUAGGAAAACCAGAGACCUUUGUUCACUUGUUUAUCUACUGACCUUCCCUCCACUAUUGUCCUAUGACCCUGCCAAAUCCCCCUCUGCGAGAAACACCCAAGAAUGAUCAAUAAAAAAAA